GGGCCCGUAGCUCAAUGGUUAGAGCAGGGAGCUCAUAACUCUCAGGUCGCAGGUUCGAUCCCUGCCGGGCCCA
rnacentral:tRNA from 1 species